ensembl:lncRNA
UAUUUUUCAGAUUACUUUGGGUUCACAUAUUUUAUUCAUCCUUUUGUAAUAUGUGAUAUUGGUCUAUUCCUAAUGUUCUUGAAAGUGUUGUUUAACAUGUGGCUUAAUGUGUUAGGCCUCCAUAUUCUGAUAAACCAAUCUAGCUUAAGGCCUACACAUUUCGUUUUGUGUCUAUUGUUAUUGUUUUGGACACCUGUUCCCCUAUUGAACUGAAAUGUAGUUGCAUGGAUGAUUACCUCAGACAACUUGUGGACCUAGCUUACAUCUGUAUAUAUCCUGGUUUAUCUUUUCAUGUGGAUAUAGACUAUUUAAAGAGAUGCAUUUAUGAUAUCAUUCUAAAUGUUAAUCUAUUUUUUCAAAUCUCAACAUUUCCAAAACACUUUUUCCAAAGCAAUCAUCACCACCUUAUAAUGAACCGUGUCUACUUUUGGUUUCUGCAUUUUAAAAGGAAACUGCCUAUAAACAAAGAAUCAAGCAUUAAGUUGCAUUUACUGCUCCUAAAAUGAUCACUUUUGUUUUCCUGUGAUCGUCAUAUAUAGUGCAACCAAGGAGGCAUUGUGUUUUUCUGUUCCAUGUUUCAAAUCCAUAUACAGAAGAUGACAUGCAUUAAUCAGACAGCCAUCAUCAACCCACAUGUUGGGUCGGUGAUCACUGUGUAUCUCCACAUACCAUAUAGUAAACAUUUUCUUCGGAAUUUCGUAACGUUGUUUGGUAGCUCUAGUCUUGAGUUGCCACCAGAUUACAUCUUUCAACAUUAGGCAAUCCGGCCCUAAUGUCAACAUCCAUUUGGCAUCUUGCUACAUCCUCUUCUCACUUCGGGGGGGAUGUUGUUUAUUCUAAGCCUUUAGAACCAUGUGGAAAAAAGUGUUCCAAUAGUUCCACUUAGAUUUUGGAACACAUUCAAAAAGUCAUUUGACUUGAAAUCUCUAUGAGAUACCUCCAAAGCUAACACGGUUCGUUGUGGUGCGUCUGGACUGCAAAACUGUUGGGCGUCAGGUGACCUAGCCCGUCCUUCUAACAGCAAAACACUGUGUUGAUGUUGGCCAUUCUAGUCUGGUGUUAUGCUUUGAAUAUCAAAUAUUCUGGCAUCAUCACUUUGUUGUGUAUUACGCGGUCACACUUCUGUCUACCUUUCAUCUUGUAUGCUUAUGCUAUUAACCAGAGUAUUCGCCUAUAUGUGGUUUGGGCUGAGGCUGCCGGGAAUAAUCCAGAAUUGCUACCGGGCUGUGAUGACAACAAUUGAACCAAUGCUGAAUAUGAAUGGCAAGCUUUAAUAUAUUGUUUUCCGCAACACUAUAUAAUGUGUCUUCUGAGUGUCCUAUGGGGCAUAUUUAAUACCAGUUCUUCAAUACCGAUUCUGGUGCUAGUUUGGAAUUAGAUGGUUGUUAUAGUAUGCCAAUAACCCAUAACAUGUUAUCAGGCCAAAAUAAAGAUCCUGCAAUUCCAUUUAAGAUAAUUUUACAAGAAGCACCUGGUUUGGAUGUGCCCCUUGAUGUAGGAAAGAGAAAAGGGCUUCUGGUCUAAAAAGCGACAAGUCAUUCCUCUUUGUGUUUACAGGAAAUCACAUUCGGCAUACUCAUAUAUAAAUAUGUAUAUGUAAAUGUCUGUUUUCAAAUUGAAUGUGUUUUUGGUGAUGUGCAAUGUUGUGUACACUCAAAUCAUUUUAAAAAGGAGAGUGCAAUGGGGACGGGAAAGUGAGAUGUUGGAUACAAAAAACUGUGAAGGCCAAGCAUGAUGAUACUAAAGCACAGUUCUUAAUGCAUAUGAUAACCAAGACUUUUAAAAAGAAUGAGAUGCUUUGUCGAUAAUAUACAUAUAGUAUUAUAUGAUAGCUAUUUGAAGCCUUCACGGCAAAAUUUAAACACAAAGGAAUAUUGGUAAAUAAAGCAUAGAAUGAAAUAUUGAUGAUGCAUAUGAAUAGAAAGUCGUACCUGAAUUGAAAAAGGAUGCGAAAAGCACUUUAGUUUGAGUACGUUUUUGAGGAGAGUGACAGUGAAGAUUGUUGGGGAACUGAGAAGUAUGUUUACCUGAUGGGAUUUGAGUGAACAUGGAAUGAAGACAGGGACACCAUCCUGUGGCUAGUGAACAUUCGAACCAAGGUUUGUUUUGUUUCCUGCUCAGACCUUGCUAUUUGCCUCACAAUGUGAAGUUGACCCAUGUUUAACCCUUUGAAUUUCUAACCCUUUUUUGUCACUGAUGAAACACUUUUAGGCUUGCCAGUGACUAUUUUAUUGUAAACCUAUGCAAGCCCCUUUUUUGGAUUUUAAUGUUUUAAUUUUUUAAUUUUCAUUGCUGUAAAAACUUUUCAACACUGUUUGCAUCCACG